rnacentral:rRNA from 1 species
AGUGAACGCUGGCGGUAGGCCUAACACAUGCAAGUCGAACGGCAGCACAGUAAGAGCUUGCUCUUACGGGUGGCGAGUGGCGGACGGGUGAGGAAUACAUCGGAAUCUACUUUUUCGUGGGGGAUAACGUAGGGAAACUUACGCUAAUACCGCAUACGACCUACGGGUGAAAGCAGGGGAUCUUCGGACCUUGCGCGAUUGAAUGAGCCGAUGUCGGAUUAGCUAGUUGGCGGGGUAAAGGCCCACCAAGGCGACGAUCCGUAGCUGGUCUGAGAGGAUGAUCGGCCACACUGGAACUGAGACACGGUCCAGACUCCUACGGGAGGCAGCAGUGGGGAAUAUUGGACAAUGGGCGCAAGCCUGAUCCAGCCAUACCGCGUGGGUGAAGAAGGCCUUCGGGUUGUAAAGCCCUUUUGUUGGGAAAGAAAAGCAGCAGGUUAAUACCCCGCUGUUCUGACGGUACCCAAAGAAUAAGCACCGGCCAACUUCGUG